rnacentral:rRNA from 1 species
GACGAACGCUGGCGGCGUGCUUAACACAUGCAAGUCGAGCGAUGAAACUCCUUCGGGAGUGGAUUAGCGGCGGACGGGUGAGUAACACGUGGGUAACCUGCCUCAUAGAGGGGAAUAGCCUUUCGAAAGGAAGAUUAAUACCGCAUAAGAUUGUAGCUUCGCAUGAAGCAGCAAUUAAAGGAGUAAUCCGCUAUGAGAUGGACCCGCGUCGCAUUAGCUAGUUGGUGAGGUAACGGCUCACCAAGGCGACGAUGCGUAGCCGACCUGAGAGGGUGAUCGGCCACAUUGGGACUGAGACACGGCCCAGACUCCUACGGGAGGCAGCAGUGGGGAAUAUUGCACAAUGGGGGAAACCCUGAUGCAGCAACGCCGCGUGAGUGAUGACGGUCUUCGGAUUGUAAAGCUCUGUCUUCAGGGACGAUAAUGACGGUACCUGAGGAGGAAGCCACGGCUAACUACGUGCCAGCCGCCGCGGUAAAAC